AUUGGCAACACUUGAUGGUAAAAAUAUCGACUGUAUUUGGUGUCACGAUAGAAGUCAUGGUUUGUUUUCGUGUUAAAUCAAUUUUAAGACGGUGUACGAUGAUAAUGAGCAUUUAGAAUACAAUAAACAUCGCUGAUUUAACCUUCUUCCAUAAAUAUUAAACCGGAAAAGUAAUCAUGGAUUCAGGAAAUAUGGAUGUAGAAUCCAAAUCAUUUCUUUAUAAAACAGGAAUAUCAAGCUGGAUGAAAACAAAUUUUGAGCGACUGAAUACGUCGGACAAUUUUGAAGCAUAUGGCUCGUCACCUCCAGAAACUGAAAGUUAUUUUAUUACUAGAUUUAAUAAGAACAAAUUAAGUAAUAUUGCCAGAGAAACUUCGAAGAUUUCAACA